UGAAGAGAGAGUGAGAGAGAUGGAGAAGUUCGAGUGCAAGUUGCACAUGGCCAUCCUCCAUAACAACUUCGAGGCAAUGUUGCAUUCCUCUAUUCACAGCUUUGUAUUGUGGAAGUGGGAUCACGCUAGCAUUGGUGUCAUUCUUGUCAUGUCGUAUAGAUGUGCAUACCGAAGAUCUACAAUCCCUCACAAAUUCAG